UGGGGAGUCGUCUAAUGGUAGGACAGCAGCCUUUGAAGCUGUUUAUUCUAGGUUCGAAUCCUAGCUCCCCAG
rfam:Microgenomates (Woesebacteria) bacterium GW2011_GWD2_40_19 TT88_C0011, whole genome shotgun sequence.